GUACAUAUUGUAGUAUAGACUUAGUUUCCUUCCUUUUUAUAUUCUUUGUAAUAUUUUUUCUAUCGACGACUCCCGUGGAAAUCAACUUUUGUAGUUGUCGGGGCUAGCGUCGCUAAAUAAAGUAUGUAUGUAUAUGUAUGUAUAUAUAAGUAAUAUAUUGUAUUGUGAAAUCAUUAAUAAUUCAUGAAGAAAACACAAAAGGAAAAAGGAAUCAUGACCGUGAAAGAGUUUGUAUAUCUUAUACAAAGUCAUAUCAUUCGUUUUUUUUAUUGUUGAAGAAUACGAAUGCCCUUAUCACGUGCAAGACGUUUCACAAGCGAUCUAUAUUCGCGUCCGAUACAACACGCUGCUCAUGUUGUAAAUAGUGUAUACAUAUAAUAUAUUAUUAAUAAUAUAUAAUAUAAGUCAUAUACUGACCCGAGGGGCCGCAGACCCCGAGGGCAAAUACAUGACUUGUAUAUCCCAAGUUCGAGGUUUAUAACCGACUUCAUAGUUGAGGAGGUUUUCGAACAAGGAUUCAUCAAUUUCAAAGAAUUUCAAAGAGUUUUUAAUUUCUUUUCAAAUGGGUGAUUUUGACUAAAUUUUGAUCAAGGCAAGAAGAAUAAAUCCAACACCUGCACAGCUAGAAAGACCGUCUUAGAAUGAGUAAAACUGCAAAGAUUGCAUGGUUGCUGAAUGUUGUAAAAUGAAGAACAUAUAGACCUGUGAAGUUCGCAAAUUUUAUAUAUAUAUAUAU